rnacentral:rRNA from 1 species
GACGAACGCUGGCGGCGUGCUUAACACAUGCAAGUCGAACGGAGUUUAAGAGGAAGCUUGCGAAUCUUAAACUUAGUGGCGGACGGGUGAGUAACGCGUGGAUAACCUGCCUGAAUGACUGGGACAACACCGGGAAACUGGUGCUAAUACCGGAUACGCUCACCAUUGCGCAGGCAAAGGUGAGGAAAGGAGAAAUCCGCAUACAGAUGGGUCCGCGUCCCAUUAGCUAGUUGGCGGUGUAAGAGACCACCAAGGCGACGAUGGGUAGCCGGCCUGAGAGGGUGGACGGCCACACUGGAACUGAGACACGGUCCAGACUCCUACGGGAGGCAGCAGUGGGGAAUCUUCCGCAAUGGGCGAAAGCCUGACGGAGCAACGCCGCGUGAGUGAGGAAGGCCUUCGGGUCGUAAAACUCUGUCUUCAGGGAAGAAAAAAAUGACGGUACCUGAGGAGGAAGCCCCGGCUAACUACGUGCCAGCCGCCGCUGUAAUAC